rnacentral:tRNA from 1 species
GGUCCCGUAGUUCAACUGGAUAGAAUCUCAGAUUCCGAUUCUGAGGGUUGGAGGUUCGAACCCUCUCGGGGCCA